UGAACGCUGGCGGCGUGCUUAACACAUGCAAGUCGAACGAACCUUCGGGUUAGUGGCGGACGGGUGAGUAACGCGUGAGAAUCUGCCCUCAGGAGGGGGAUAACGGUUGGAAACGACCGCUAAUACCCCAUAUGCCUACUGGUGAAAUGAAUUUCGCCUGAGGAUGAGCUCGCGUCUGAUUAGCUAGUUGGUGAGGUAAUGGCCCACCAAGGCUUCGAUCAGUAGCUGGUCUGAGAGGAUGAUCAGCCACACUGGGACUGAGACACGGCCCAGACUCCUACGGGAGGCAGCAGUGGGGAAUUUUCCGCAAUGGGCGAAAGCCUGACGGAGCAACGCCGCGUGAGGGACGAAGGCCUCUGGGCUGUAAACCUCUUUUCUCAAGGAAGAAGAUAUGACGGUACUGAGGAAUAAGCCACGGCUAAU
rnacentral:rRNA from 1 species